AGGAAUACAAGUUUGUUCCUUUUAGAAGAAGAAAAAAGAAUUACAAUUCAUUGACUUAACAUUAGCAUGACAAAAAAAAAACUCAACUGGAUCAACAUCUUUAACAUUUCGAUGGGUGUUACAAAAAAUUUCUUACAAAUAGAGCUGCAGAUCAGAUAGGCCAAAUGAACUUCCAAGGAAGCUGUAGAAAAAAUAGUACCGAUCGAGUCCACAUUCCAUCCAAAUCUUUAGCAUGCCUGUUACAAUAAAUUUCUUACAACACAAAUACUGCCACUACAACAGUCCUUACAGAACCAUGAAAAUCUUGCUUUCUACAAUACUUACAAAAUACUCUUUACAACUAACCAAGCCAUGAAAAAAAUUUGCUAAAGUCACUCAGCAACUUCCUGUUACAGUGUUUUCUUCUAAUUAACUCCUGCAACAAACCAUCUCAAGUUUCUAAUCCAAAUCCAUCAACCGAUAUACAUAACUUGCAAGUCUUCAAUUCCCCAAGCCACCUUGGAGACACAUCAGCCAAACCAACUGUCAUCCUCCUGCCACAACAUCCUUGUCAUGAGAAACUCAAUUAUUCAAAAGGCUCUUUGGGCAGAGUAACCAUUGACAUCAUAAAAUAGGGAAGACAGGAUCUAGUAGGAAUCAAUUUACCACCAUAGUCUAGAAAAUUUCCUUGCUGGAUUCCCAUCUUAUUCUCAGCUUUAUUCCAGUCACUAACUCACUAUUCCUCAAUUUAACAGUACGCACAGGAAUCCCUAAAUAUUUAAAGAGGCAAUGAACCAAUAUUCUAGGUCAAAAUCUCCUUAUAUCUUUCUAGAUCAUUCCCAGCUGCCAAAGCAACAAAUAUCACUCUUACGGAAACUAUUUUAUAAACCAAUUAAAUGUUCAAACAGAAUCAGAAUUGAUUUUAGAUUUCUAGCAUUUUUUUCUCCAGCCUCAGUUAAAUCAUCGCUAGACCUACUACUGAAUUAGGCACUGCCCCUUUAAUCUCUCCUUGAGAAAUAGCUCUACAAGUUCUUGCAAGAAAUUAAUAGCAAUAUUGAAGAAAAUGGGGGACAGGGGGCCCCCUGUCUUAAACCUUUCUUAGUUUUAAAAAAGGACCCAACUGGUCAUUAACUCUAACAGAAAACGUUACCACUUUGAACAAUCUGUUCUAUCCAGCAAACAUAAUCAGAAGUAAACACUUUCAGAAAUAAAUAAAAAAUAGUAAGUUGGAGUCUUCGCCACAAACCAAAAAUAUGAUUAUUAACAGAAGUAAAAGCCAAAUUCCUACUUUUUUCUAAACUGAUUACUCCAACACAUAUCAAAUAUCGUAGAAUCGUAAAAGUUAUCUAAUAUUCAAAAGCAUAAUAAGCAAAAGUAAAGGUUAGUUGGAGUCUCGACUGAAAGGAACAUAUGCACUAAGAUUGUUCAUGAUUAAGCAAAUGCUAACAUGGCAUAGAAAAUCAAAAUGUAUAGGUAUAGGAUAUCGUGCACAUAAUUAGUUGUCUUUCUACAUUUUGCAUCUCAAAGAGGAAUGAAUUGUAACACACUAAAAUGAAGGUCGGGCAUUAUGACAAACUCAUCCAUAUGGUACUGUCAAAAAAAGUCCAUAUGGUUAUUGACAAAUCUAUUUUUAUGCAAAUAACCUUAACCUUCAUGCUAUACAAUUUAACCAACUUGGGACUACUGUUGUAAGCACCGACUCUCCAAAUUAUAAAUGCAUUCACUAAUACUACAAGAAUCUUUGGCACUCAAACAUAACCAGCGGCUCUCUGCGAAAAAACAAUCAUGGAGUUCUUGAGAAUACUUUGCGCAAAUUUAUGCCACAACAAUUUGUUGUUGCUCUUUGACAGUAACAGCAGCACAUAUGAUUACUCAACCAAAAAAUACAGCAGCAUAUAUGAUGUAGUGUUCAUUGUCCACCUUUUUCCUGCUAGGGUACAUUGACUGAUCUAUUUUUUAAAUUCCUGAUUCAUAUUUAGGAUGUGCUGCUUUUGGAUAUUAGUGGCCCCCCUAAAGUGGUACAGGCUAACUACAAGAAGUAUGUCCAAUCAGCGAGAUGGUGGAACUAUAAGAAAGGCAUCCGAGUGGAUGUGACUCGACUCUUCCGCAGAAAAAAACACGUCUUCACCACUCCGGAGAAGGGCACGUGUUGCACAGUGGUCAAGUAUAAAAAAGAUACAAUCACAUUUAUUAAGCAAGGUAGAUACUGGUGGGUUAAAGCCUACUGCAUUGAUGGUAAGGUGCAUGAGCUGAAACCGGAAGGUGACCAGAAGAACUACAUAGAGUGCUCGGACCACACAGUCCUUUCCUUUGGAGGUAACCACCAUGAUAUAUGCAAUGAUGACCCUGGAGGGUCGCUUACAGGUUUGGGUUACCUAAGAAAGGCAUUCACCUCCGUAAUCGAGGGUGGGAAGCGCAUAGACCCCAAGUUCGUAGGUCUUUUUGUUGUUUAUCUGGGUGAAGGUCCAAGGUUUGAGAUAGUUUUUCAAGCACUGUACAUGAACAUUCCCAGCCCAAAUUCUAUGCGCCUCGACUAUUUUAUUCCAUGGAUGAAUGAGCUUGUGCGUAACUGGAAUAAGCUGAGCAAAUAUGCCAUGAAGUACAUGCACUGUCUUCGCGAAGGAUUGGAGCUCCCAGAGUUAGACCAAGGCAUUGCUUUUCCAGGGAUGGACUCUAUUGAGAAAGUUCUUCAGUUGGUGAAGAUUCUACAGUUAGAUGCUUACAAUGCUGGUAUUUUCAGUCAUGAAAAAGCGCAACAGCCAGAUGUAUGGCGUGCACGUGAUGAGUCAUUUGCUAGAAAGGAAAAGGAUACACACUGCAAAAAGAAACAUGGAAAAGGUGCACCUCCUCCUGAGGAUUCUUUUGUACCUAUGGAUGACGGUCUGUUUCAUAUGUUGAAUGUCAAUGGGAAGGUGGAAAGUUUAUUUACAGAGCAGCCCCCUGGUCCUGAACUGAAACUGGGUCAAGGGCAUGGGCGGUUUUCAAAUAAAGCAAAAGUUAGUUCUCCAAGCUGCUACGCUAGAAGGAAGAUGAGCACCCAAGGAUGGGACAACGAGGUGUGUGUAAAAUGUUAAACAGCACUCAGAGCUAUAUCUUUUGCAUAUCCAUAUUGUAUAAUCUUCUCAAAACGUUUUAUUGCAGAUUCUUCAUCUGAAAAGGUCUAUUUUGGAUAUGCCAAUGGACAAACUGCUGCAUACCACCUUGGCGAGAAGACAAGUGCAAAUGCCCAUGAGGCUUCAUGUCAGCAUCAUAAAUACCUCAAAAAAAUGAAAAGUUCUUACAAAAACGACUACAUGGACAACCCAGAAGUGCUGUCCUUAUCGUUACCUCCCCAAAGACAAUAUAAAGGUUUGUAAAAAGUUGCUUUAGUUUGAAUGCUCUAUUAUUCACUUUAUAAUAUCUUUGCACCUCUUAUUGCAGGUUUUGGGUAUUGGAGGAACUGCAGAAUUUAUAGGUGAAAGAAUUGUACAAACCAGAAUGGUCAACAAAAGAAUGGCCAUGCUCGGGCCUUUGAUUCUCG
rnacentral:lncRNA from 1 species